CGCCGGUACCCUCGCGACGCGAAGCUGUAAACUCCGCCAGGCCCGGAAGGGAGCAACGGUAGCAGUGUAGUGGGCGCCGAGGAUCUGCUGGUGUGG
rnacentral:SRP_RNA from 1 species